UCAGGAGAGCCAGUGGCAGGAGCUUUUGGUUUUACUGCACACACUUCCCGUCCCUGAACCUGGAGAUCCCAUCCAUCUCGGAAUGCAUUCUUUCUUCACCGUGCCUGAUAUCAGAGAACUCCCCAGCAUCCCUGAGAACAGAAACCUAACGGAGUAUUUCGUAGCUGUAGAUGUCAACAACAUGCUUCACUUGUAUGCUAGUAUGCUGUAUGAACGCCGGAUCCUCAUCUGCUGUAGCAAACUAAGCACUGUAAGUACAUUAAGAUGUCAUUU